GCAUUAGUGAUUUAGUGGUAGAAUAGUACCCUGCCAUGGUACAGAUCUGGGUUCGAUUCUGGCUAGAGUA
rnacentral:tRNA from 1 species